rnacentral:ribozyme from 1 species
AAGUAGAAGAAGAAGAAGAAGAAGAAAGAGGGUGAUUGUGUUUCAAUUUGGCUCUUAUUUUUCGUAUUUUUGAUCUUCUUAAUUUCCUCUUUCUUUUCUUUCCUCUUGUUUUUUUCUUUUUUGGCAUAGAGAGAGAGGGGGAAGAAGGUAGAGGUAUAAAAUCAAAUUAAAAAUUGAAAAA